ACGAGAGGCGGACGGGUGAGGAACGCUUGGGAAUCUGCCCAUCAGCGGGGGACAACCCGGGGAAACCCGGGCUAAUACCGCAUACGCUCUAUGGAGGAAAGCCGGGGACCGCAAGGCCUGGCACUGAUGGAUGAGCCCAAGUCGGAUUAGCUAGUUGGCGGGGUAACGGCCCACCAAGGCGACGAUCCGUAGCUGGUCUGAGAGGACGAUCAGCCACACUGGAACUGAGACACGGUCCAG
rnacentral:rRNA from 1 species